CAUGCAGUCGAGCGCACUCUUCGGAGUGAGCGGCGGACGGGUUAGUAACGCGUGGGAACGUGCCCUUCUCUAAGGAAUAGCCACUGGAAACGGUGAGUAAUACCUUAUACGCCCUUCGGGGGAAAGAUUUAUCGGAGAAGGAUCGGCCCGCGUUAGAUUAGAUAGUUGGUGGGGUAAUGGCCUACCAAGUCUACGAUCUAUAGCUGGUUUUAGAGGAUGAUCAGCAACACUGGGACUGAGACACGGCCCAGACUCCUACGGGAGGCAGCAGUGGGGAAUCUUGGACAAUGGGCGCAAGCCUGAUCCAGCCAUGCCGCGUGAGUGAUGAAGGCCUUAGGGUCGUAAAGCUCUUUCGCCAGAGAUGAUAAUGACAGUAUCUGGUAAAGAAACCCCGGCUAACUCCGUGCCAGCAGCCGCGGUAAUACGGAGGGGGUUAGCGUUGUUCGGAAUUACUGGGCGUAAAGCGCACGUAGGCGGAUCAGAAAGUAUAGGGUGAAAUCCCAGGGCUCAACCCUGGAACUGCCUUGUAAACUCCUGGUCUUGAGUUCGAGAGAGGUGAGUGGAAUUCCGAGUGUAGAGGUGAAAUUCGUAGAUAUUCGGAGGAACACCAGUGGCGAAGGCGGCUCACUGGCUCGAUACUGACGCUGAGGUGCGAAAGUGUGGGGAGCAAACAGGAUUAGAUACCCUGGUAGUCCACACCGUAAA
rnacentral:rRNA from 1 species